rnacentral:rRNA from 1 species
UACAUGGGGUGCAAACGUUGCUCGGAAUUAUUGGGCGUAAAGCGCACGUAGGCGGUUUGUUAAGUCGGAUGUGAAAUCCCUCGGCUCAACUGAGGAAGUGCAUCCGAAACUGGCAGGCUUGAGUACUAAAGAGGGUCGCGGAAUUCCCGGUGUAGUGGUGAAAUGCGUAGAUAUCGGGAGGAACACCAGUGGCGAAGGCGGCCCCCUGGACCGGUACUGACGCUGAGGCGCGAAAGCGUGGGGAGCAAACGGG